rnacentral:ncRNA from 1 species
CUCUACUCUCGUGGUCAGAUGAUAUAUACUCAAGGGUGUAUAUCCAGUACAGAGAGGAUAAAGGGGCUUACUUCCAUGCUAUAAUGCAAAAAAUAUACUUGUUAUGAAUGCCGAGAGUAAUCUUUCAAAGGUAAAAUCUGCAACGCAUAA